UCUGAGGAAGCUUUUUACUACCAAUGAACAUUAAAGUAGUGACAGCAUCUUGUCCUAUAAAUAAUAAAAUCCUGUUUAAGAUUUAUAUGGGGUCUUCUGCCUUUAUCUACUAUAGUAAGUGGCUAAAUCCUGUUAAUUCUACCUUUUAGAUUUCACUGUAACAUGCCCUCUCUUCUCCAUUCCCACUGCCUCAGUACCUUGGGUCAGAUUCUAUCAUAUCCCAACUGAAUUGCUUGUAACAGACUGUUUGAUUGGCCUCCCUGCCUCCAGUCUAAACUCCAUCCUGCUCACCCAAUAACUUGUGCUGUUUUUAAAACAGAAAUUCUACCAUUCACACUCCUGAAAAACCCUCCAAUGGUUUCUUAUCAUCUAUAGAAUAAAGUCCACUUUCCUUAAAUUAGUAUACAUAGCCUUCUUGUGACUUGCCUCACUUCUCCUGAUUUUCACAUGCUACUCAAUGCUCACACUUCAAUUUCUAGGGAAAUCAAGUGGCUGUAGUUCCUUCAGCACACAAGAGAGUUCACAAUAAAUGCUUGUUAAGUGAAUGAAUGAAUGCAACACCUUAUGUUGUUAGAAUGGCCAUUCAACCUGCUUGGCUCAAAUGGUCCCUGUUUACCUCUGCCACCCCAGCAUAAUUGUUAAUAAUGCUCCUUUUCACUACCCAGUUUGUCUCAGACCAAUAAAUACAUGGUCACCCUAAUUACAGCAGUCAUUGAAUUGUUUUCUAACUCUGGGUUUACCUACUAGACUAUGAGCUCUUUGGGGACAGAAAUUUUGUUCAUUUUACUUUUAUAUCCUCAUUUAUUCAUUCAACUAAGAGACUGACAUUUUUAGAUGCUAAGGUAUAAUGUUGAAUAAAACAAAGAUGAUUCUUGCCUUCACAGAGCAUACAAUUUAGCAGGAAAGAAUAAUCUAGCAGGACGAAUAGUACCUAAUUCAAUAAAUGCUGCUGUGUGAAUGCAUGGCUAAAUGUGGAUAAAGAUUUCGAGGUUCCUUAACAACCCCAAUCCCAUGAAUUACAGAGACAGAGUCAUAAACAUAGAACUCUGGGUUGAUCAAAUUAACUAUUUCCUUAGUUGCUAGCUAAAAAUUUUAAAUACAAACACAUACAACACAUGUGUACCUAAGCAUACAUCAUAUUUAGAUGCUUUAUGUUAACUUUAAGGAAAAAGGGACCAUAAAAUUAGAGCAAGAUUGAGACCGUGAGGACUCUAUGUUUUUAGAUAAACAAUUUGUAACCCCAUGUGGUUCUUCUGGGGGCCAAUUAUCAGUAUAUACUCCUCAGCCCCCCCAUUUUUUUUGUUUGUUUUUGAGAUGAGAAAUCUGUGUUUUAGAAACUGAGCCACGAAAGAAAGGAGUGAUUUCUUAAAUCAGGAUUAGAUUUUAGUUGAGUUUCACUUUCAGAGCUUGGACUCCCUGCUAUCCUAGUCUAGUUAACCAUGUUCCCAUGGGCAAAUUACAAAACCCUUUCAACUUCAGUUUCCUCUUCUAUGUAUAAACUAGUGAUAAUAUUAUCUCCAAAAUUGAUCUAAGGAUUAAAUGAGAUCAUGUAAUUCUAGAAGACACUCAGGGAAUGCCAGUUUUCCAUCCAUUUCCCUAUUUAUCUUUCUGUGUGUGGUAACUUAAAGGAUGAUAUUGAACUAUUUGAGAAGAAAGAACUGUAACUAUUCAUACCAAUAUAAUUUUUUUAGUCUCAAAACUGAGUGCUGAAUGAGGCCCUCUCCAUCCCCUCUGCAAAUUAUAGUUUUAUUUAUAUUCAUUUAUUAUCUUAUUAUAGGCAAAGCUCCAGAGAAGCAUUUCAAGAGCAAAGUGAUAGGUCAGAUUUUUCUGGAAAAAGACAGAGUUUAUGAGGGAGCCAGCAUUUGGGAGGCAGUGGGUGUCAGUCUUAGAGAUUUAGCCAUUUAUUCUUUUCACUUUUAGUUCAAGAGAGAAAGAACAGCAAACCAUCCAUUGAGUCCUUGUGUGUGUGUGGGGGGGGGUUGGUGGUAAAUGUAAACAAAAGCAGGCGCUCUCUUCAGCUUCCACAAUGUCUGGCGACCCUAAGACUUUCCAGCUCUUUUGUGAAGACCAGCAGGUCUGUUCUCCAGCAGUGUCCUGGGUUUGGACUCCGUUUCCCAGAGUCCCUUAGUGCCCUAAUGUAUUCAGUGCUCAGAGUGCCUGUGUGUGUGAGAGAGAGAAUAUGUGCAUGCGCACGCGUGUCCCUGGGAGAGUGGAGGCUCUUUCACCGAUUAGAGCCAGCGCUGAGAGGCAGCACUGCUCCUUCUCUCACACCAACCGAGUCUCUUGAUCUGUACGUGCAAUCCCAGGCAGCUCUGGAGCACAAAGCCUGGGCCAGCUGCCUGCUGCCGCCGCCUCUGCGCGCCCAGUACUUUUUAUGCACCACACUCACCGCCUCCUUCGCUCUGCGUCCUGAAAAGUGCGACUGGUCUCCGAAGGAAUCUCCAUGGAAAGUAGAGACCAGAAAGGGGUGUGGAUGUGUGUGUGGACGCCAGAUGGGUGGGUGCGAGUGUGGCCGGUUGCUCAGGAACCUGGCUAACUUUCCAGGUCCGUUUCCUGGGGAUUCGGGCAGCUCCCCCCACCGCUGCCCCCAGGCAGGCGCAGGGGCAGGGGCAGGAGCAGGAGCAGAGAUCUGAACAGCUUGCCUCCUGUAGCCCUGCUUGUUUUAUGCCUGUCAGUGAGGAGCUGCUUAGGAGCCUUGGAACCAGCCCUGGACCCACUUUUGGAGCAUCCAUGUUGGCACGACCAUUAAUCUGACUUGGAAACAGCCAGGAACAGGAUUCCCAGACUCGUCAGGCUCACUGGCUGUCCUUGGCAGAUCAUUCCCUGCACUGCUAUAACUUGACAGGAAAGUUAUUUAAAAUUUGGAGGAGAGAAAAAUCCUUUAAUGUGAGCUACAUAAUCUGGUAAUUUAGCAAUGACGUCUAUAAGGAAAAAUGCCAAAUGAGGAAGCAGUCUGAUGGUGUGCACUCAUCUUCCCAAUUAAUAACAGUCAUUGACACGUUGGCUACAGGAUGGGAGAAGGAAAUACUCUGGGCACUGCAUUAAGUGGGGAGGAUUCAUCCACUGUUUAACUGAGGCCUAUUUGAAGGAACAGCAAAGAUACCCCAUCUGGGUGGGGUGCUUUUUUUUAAGAGAGGGGGUAAAUUUUAUUUGAGACAAUUAGAGGGUAUAAUUGGCAGCAGAUGAUGCUUUGGGGUUACACUUUGCGUUUCAUUGUUUUUAUUUAGUGCAUAUUUUUAAGCUAAUGAGUCCUAGUAUUCAUCUCAUGAUAUCCUGACUUACCCAUACAACCCUUCCUCCCCACCCCCAACUCAAAAUACAUUUUGAAACAGCAUCAGUGGCUAUGAAAAUGUACAAGUGAAAUUUAAAAGGGAAAUUGAAAGAAGUCUUUCUGAACUCCAAUUUCUUCCAGCGGCCUUUAGCAGACAUCAACUCUGUCUGGGCCAAUAAGUGGAGGAAAAUAAGUCAGAAAUUUUGUUAACAUUUUGCUCUAAAUGUUAAUGGCAAAAUGCAAGGCGGUUUACAAAUCUGCUUAAGAGUGAGUGCAUCAUGGUGUUCCCGUCGUGGUGCAGUGGUUAAGGAAUCCGACUAGGAACCAUGAGGUUGCGGUCCCUGGCCUUGCUCAGUGGGUUAAAGGAUCUGGCGUUGCCCUGAGCUGUGGUGUAGGUUGCAGACACGGCUCGGAUCCCACGUUGCGCCGAGGGAGCGGCCCAAGAAAUAGCAAAAAGACAAAAAAAAAAAAAAAAAAAAAAGAGUGAGUGCAUCAGUAACUGAAGGGACCUAUGCAUUCUUCGCUGCCCCAGGAAGACAGAUGCUUCUAGAGAACAUAUGCCAAAGGCACCCGUAAUGUUUUUAAACAUUGUCAGAGACACCAGACACUAUUGAUGCAGGUUUUGUUCCUUCUCAGAAGAGAGAAUGCCUGUGUGGUUUGAGAGGGCUGUGGAUCAAAAAUAAUGCUGCUGUUGUUUCUUCACAGAGCACUUCUGCGGGGAGCCAAGAAAAUGCAGUGACUCAAAACAAGGACCUUACCUGAUGGCAAAAAAACCCCUAAAGGCAGGUUCCUAACCAAGAAAGGGAGCUCACCUGAACGGUACAAGCCGAAGGUCUUAGACAACGUUGAUUCCCCAGUGACAUUCCCUGCCCUGAUCCCAGGUGCCACUCCCUCCCAGAGAAGACUGCUUCUUGUGUGACACCAGCCAUAGAGAGAGACUCCGAUGGACUUACACCAGGCAGCCUUCAAGAUGGAGAACUCAUCCUGCCUCCCCAACCCGCUGGCAUCCCCAGCACUGAUGGUCCUGGGGUCCAUGGCCAAGACCAGCCUUGAUGCUUCCAUCCCUUGCCAGCAGCCACGACCCUUCGGUGUACCUGUCUCUGUAGACAAGGACGUGCACAUUCCAUUCACCAAUGGUUCCUACACCUUUGCCUCUAUGUACCAUCGGCAAGGUGGGGUGCCGGGCACUUUUGCCAACCGUGAUUUCCCCCCUUAUUUACUAUACCUCCACUCACAGUUUGCUCCCUCCAAUCUAGAUUGCACCCCAAUCAGUAUGCUGAAUCAUAGUGGAGUGGGGGCUUUCCAUCUCUUUGCUUCUGCUGAGGACCAGGAGAGUUAUCAGUUAGGUGACUUAAAAACUGCCAUGACACAGAGUCUCAGAUGCAGGUGUCAAGGAAUAUGACUUUGGGACACAGCUGCCAUCUAGCUCCCCCAGUUCACUUAAGGUUGAUGACACUGGGAGGAAGAUUUUUGCUGUCUCUGGCCUCAUUUCGGAUUGGGAAACCUCAUUUAGCCCAGAGGGUUGGAAUGACAGAUCUAAGUACUUUGGUGCCACCCUUCCCAAACCCCAGUAAGCCCUGCCUUGCAGUGUGUUCAACAGGUCGUGGUGUUUUUUCCUGCUCCUGGCAAUGGGGAGGGCCGACUCCGUCCCAUUCCGUAGCUGUGGAGUGCUGACAUUUACUUGUCUCUUGUCAAUAAGCAUUGAUGGUCCUUGUAGGAAAUGUUUUUCUGAGGGUAGCCAGAGGCAUGUUGGCCUGCACUGCCCUUCCCUCCAGUGCACCAUUGGCUUCCUCUCUGGGGACUGUGGGGUGGAGAGGGGUGCUGUGUCUGCACCAGAGGGAAUAUCACUUCAUUAGUAAGGGUAGGUUCCUAAGAAUUUGGGGGGCCUGAAGAAGCCUGCACAGGCCUCCUCUCUUUGUUGGCCUCAUUACAUUUGUGUCUCUGGUCUCAGGAUUAUUUUUUUAGCUUUUCUAUUGUAUCACAGCCAACAGACUCCAUGUGAUUUUAUUUUCACAACUCUCAGCCCUUGUCCAAAUCAGGCUAUUUUUCGGAGAUGGACGAAGAUGUCGUCAAACACCAUAAAGCAUUUCCUUGCAGUCAUAAGGACUGGAAAGCCAACUUCUAUGGGGAUUUAACAAGUUUGCUGGGUGCUUAUCCCAGGGCUCGCGUUCAGGACUAAGCAUGGUUGGCCUGUGUGUCUGCUCCAUAUUUGAUGCUCACAGCUACCGUUCAUUUCUGCUCCUGGACCAGCUUUCUCAUGUUCUCCAAAUGCCUUGUCAGGUUCUGGCUCCCUUCACUAACAGUUGGAGCUAAACCUUAAUUUGAAACUUGUAGACUAGGAGUGUUGACCUCUGCCAUCCUCUCUAAUGUAAUCAGAUGAGAAUUGCAGCUCUUGGACUCUGGGUACAUGCCCCCCCCCCCCCCCCCCGCUGAGCAGUUUUCUUCAAGCCUGGUGAGAAUUUAUGAACUGAGAGUGUUUUUCCACCCAACCCUUUGUUCUGAGAUUUGCUUCAUUUUAUUUUCUUAAGCAAACUAUACCUGGUUUGCUUGACUCUCCUCUCUAUUUUUUUGUGCUCCCAUCCACUCUAUAAGCACCACCACGAAUGCCAUUUUUUUCUCUUCCCUUUUGAUGCCAAGGAGAGUAAUAGAGAAGUUGCAGCUCUCUGCGCUGUCGGCACUGCUUCCUCAGGCUGUCUCCUUGACUUAGGCACUGUGUUAACUUUCCUGUGCUAAAAGGCAUCUGCCUAAACCCAGCGUACCUUUUGAAUAAAAGUCAUCAUAAAAUCAACCUGCCUUGUAAAUGCAUCACUCUUUGGUUUUGAAAUAUGUUGUGAGGGUGUCUUUUAUGUCAGCGUCUAUAAGCCUGAGACCUCCCCACUUAAGGGAGAAGGCUGCUUUUGCUAUCUGACAGCACAACUGCCGGUGUUCUCUCUCUCUUGCUUUAGCCCCUAUUCCACCUUUUCUCUGUCUGUUCAGCUGGUGUGUGUGUGUGUGUGUGUGUGUGUGUGUGUGUGUAUGUGUGUCUGAGAGAGAGUGAGAGGGAGGUGAUCCUGUUUGGGGGUUAUACUUGCUGAACAGGGACUGGUGUUGUAUUGGUCUGGUUUAGUUUGGUUUAGUUUUCGUUUGUCAGGGUACAGGGGAUCAAGGCUAACUUUAAUUUGACCUCUGGCCAAAAUGGCCUGGGGUUUGGGUGUGUUAGAUGCUGCUCCUUUUCUUUUCUCCAAAUGAAAGUUGAAAAUGAAACCCUCUCAAAACUAACAUGCCACCAAGUAGCACGUGGAGAUCAAGAUUCCUUUAUUUUCCCCUAACAAAUCCAGCUUGUCUCCAUUUUUCCAAUUUUUUUUUUUAAAGCCCAAACCCCUAUCAGACCUCCCAGAGUGGUAGAAAGCUUGUUAGUUGAGUCAGAACUCAUAGAUGUGGAUAUCCAUUCCCCUCCAUGUGUCAAAGCCAUAACUCUACUGUUUGCCUGGUGUGCAUUGUGUGGGGGUGUCAUCCCCCUUGGAGAUGGGUCCCUCACCCAGGAAUAUGCCUGGGUGGAGAAAAAUUAAAUGAGUCUGCCUCCCAAAGUGAAAUGGGAUUCUGACCUUGAAAUUAAUGAGAUUCUGGUCAGAAGGGUGGAGAAACUUCUUUAUGUCAAAAUGUAGCAUUGUAAAAAUUGGAGCCCUUUCCCCUCUCAUUUGUUUAAAAUAUCCUUCCCUUCGUGUGUAUUUUGUGUUCUCUUUUUUCUCUCCCACAAACAUUAGAGCCAUGGGCGUGUCUGUGCAUGUAGGAUGUUUGUCCACUCACAUUAUUAUCUGACUGAUCUUUAAUGAGAAAUAAAAGGUACAAAGUGCACAGGAGGCUGUUACCCUGUGAUAAGCCUGGAUUUGUGCUCCUUCCUCCUCUCCUGGACUUGGGUGGUGUAGCAGCCUUUGCAGGGUUGUACUGGGUUGCAUUUGUGCUGUGGAUUUUUAGUUUGGGGAAGGCUGGCGAAACAUUUUUCUGUGGGGAAGGGUCAGAGAGGCACUGCGACAAAGUCUGCCACAGCUUUCUUGGCUCCUGUCAUAUGCCGAUGUGUGUCAGAAUAUUUAUGGUCUGUUUUAUGUAAACACAUAUUUAAGGGCGGUUAGAAGGCCUGAUUAUUCCCACUAGAUGCCUUUCAGGUUGUCCCUACAGAAUUGUUUUGAAAUAAGUAAUAUUUCUCAAAUAAUCGAGUGGCAGUAUACAAGCCUGCUUCCAAAGGGAGAGCUCAAGGGGCAGAGGGGCCAGUGUGGGGGGUGGGGAGAUGAGAAGAGAGAGGAUAGAAAGUGUUCAGAAGAGCCAAGUGACAGCAUACAGAGGCUUUUCCCCACAUGGCCGCAAUUAACCGUGUAUAUCUUAGGCUUUGUAAUUCUUUAA